rnacentral:rRNA from 1 species
ACGGAAGGCAGCAGUGGGGAAUAUUGCACAAUGGGCGAAAGCCUGAUGCAGCGACGCCGCGUGAGUGAAGAAGUAUCUCGGUAUGUAAAGCUCUAUCAGCAGGGAAGAAAAUGACGGUACCUGACUAAGAAGCCCCGGCUAACUACGUGCCAGCAGCCGCGGUAAUACGUAGGGGGCAAGCGUUAUCCGGAUUUACUGGGUGUAAAGGGAGCGUAGACGGUAAAGCAAGUCUGAAGUGAAAGGCUGGGGCUCAACCCCAGGACUGCUUUGGAAACUGUUAAACUAGAGUGCAGGAGAGGUAAGUGGAAUUCCUAGUGUAGCGGUGAAAUGCGUAGAUAUUAGGAGGAACACCAGUGGCGAAGGCGGCUUACUGGACUGUAACUGACGUUGAGGCUCGAAAGCGUGGGGAGCAAACAGGAUUAGAUACCCUGGUA